rnacentral:sRNA from 1 species
GCUGCACGAAGUGACGAAGCCGGUGUCAA